GAUGAACGCUGACAGAAUGCUUAACACAUGCAAGUCGAUUCGAUUUACCUUCGGGUAUUGAGGAUGGCGGACGGGUGAGUAACGCGUAAGGAACUUGCCUCUUGGUCUGGGACAACUGUUGGAAACGACAGCUAAUACCGGAUAUUAUGAGAUUCUCGCAUGGGAAACUUAUGAAAGCUAUAUGCGCCAAGAGAGAGCCUUGCGUUCCAUUAGCUAGUUGGUGGGGUAACGGCCCACCAAGGCGACGAUGGAUAGCCGGCCUGAGAGGGUGAACGGCCACAAGGGGACUGAGACACGGCCCUUACUCCUACGGGAGGCAGCAGUGGGGAAUAUUGGACAAUGNNNNNNNAGCCUGAUCCAGCAAUUCUGUGUGCACGAUGAAGGUCUUCGGAUUGUAAAGUGCUUUCAGUUGGGAAGAAGAAAGUGACGGUACCAACAGAAGAAGCGACGGCUAAAUACGUGCCAGCAGCCGCGGUAAUACGUAUGUCGCAAGCGUUAUCCGGAUUUAUUGNGCGUAAAGCGCGUCUAGGCGGAAAAAUAAGUCUGAUGUUAAAAUGCGGGGCUCAACUCCGUAUUGCGUUGGAAACUGUUUUUCUAGAGUACUGGNNAGGUGGGCGGAACUACAAGUGUAGAGGUGAAAUUCGUAGAUAUUUNUAGGAAUGCCGAUGGAGAAGUCAGCUCACUGGNCAGAUACUGACGCUAAAGCGCGAAA
rnacentral:rRNA from 1 species